rnacentral:rRNA from 1 species
UACGGCGGGAGCUAGCGUUGUUCGGAAUUACUGGGCGUAAAGCGCGCGUAGGCGGCUUUGUAAGUUAGAGGUGAAAGCCUGGAGCUCAACUUCAGAAUUGCCUUUAAGACUGCAUCGCUUGAAUCCGGGAGAGGUGAGUGGAAUUCCGAGUGUAGAGGUGAAAUUCGUAGAUAUUCGGAAGAACACCAGUGGCGAAGGCGGCUCACUGGACCGGCAUUGACGCUGAGACGCGAAAGCGUGGGGAGCGAACAGG